rnacentral:tRNA from 1 species
GAAAUUCUAGUUAAAACAUAAUAUUAGUUUGUCAAAUUAAAGUUACUCAACUUAGAGUGAAUUUCU